UAGUAGGGGUGUAUGAAUCCGGUAAAGCUGAAAAUAGAUGAGAAAAUGGCACGGGGAUAUGUUACAUUUUUAACAUUUCAAUAUAUAUUUCAUGAAAAAUGCAUUUAUAUCAUACAGUUGUAAUUAAAAUAGCCAUUUUAAAACGGUUCGUUUUAAUGCCUGAGGUGACUUCCCCUCAUGCGAGUUGGUUUCCCUUCUAAUUUCGUGUCCGUUUGUCAGACUCUCUACGUUACCGCGCGAAAGGAAAUUUAUGCAAAUUUCAAUUUUUAAGCCCAAUAUAUUGUUUAAAUGUUUGAAAUAUGUUUUUAAUCGACUUGUGUCUGUAAUCCUGAACUGUUCUGGUGUGUUGGUGCUUUAAACUCCCGUUGAGUUCAUCUCACGCGAGUCUCAGAUGGAGAAAUUUAUUCCGAUGAAGAGGUCAGGUCGGCAGAGGUAGCAGAUCAGUGGUGUGUAAGGGCAGAAUGAAAGGCUGCAUACAUUUCGUGGCCACCAUCUGCAGUGACAAAUCAAAGAGACCCGAACUCACAAACCAUAUGUGAGACUUGCUCAUGAAGUUAAGCACGACAAUGUGGUGUCUUUUUAUGAAUGGUAUGAGAGCAGCAACCAUCUGUGGUUGGUGGUGAAGAUGUGCACAGAUUUUGUUGGAUGUACUGGGAACUCUGAAGUACUCAGAUUUCUGCCUGGCUAAAGCUCAAGGAGAAAGUCUGGAGGAGUUCUUCUCUCUUAUGGCAGAGGAGACGGGAGCUGGAGACAGCAAAGACAACGUUAUCUCUCCACGAAACAUCAAGAACAGAAUUACAGGAGGUGUUGAGAGGAGCAGACAGCAGAGUCUGCAGUGACCUGUGGGCUUUAGGCUGCAUCCUAUUUGAGAUGAGCCCACUAAAGGGUUUACUUCAGAAGGACCCUGUGAAAAGGUUACGCUGGGACACUUUGUUAUCAAACCCAUUCUGGAGGAAAGCAUUUUCAGAGACAAGCAUCACUAUGGGAAAAGAGCAGGAUGAUGUCUCUCUCAAUGGUAUCCAGCCUGCAUUUGGCCUCUGUGUCUUCUCAGACAGCCGAGGAAGCCCAGACAGCACCUGCUGACCCUGCCAGCCCAAACCUCAGGAAGCCUUUCACAUUAGGUAA